rnacentral:rRNA from 1 species
UACGGAGGGGGCUAGCGUUGUUCGGAAUUACUGGGCGUAAAGCGCGCGUAGGCGGAUCUGCAAGUCGGGGUGAAAUCCCGAGGCUCAACCUCGGAACUGCCUUCGAUACUGCGGGUCUCGAGUCCGGGAGAGGUGAGUGGAAUUCCUAGUGUAGAGGUGAAAUUCGUAGAUAUUAGGAAGAACACCAGUGGCGAAGGCGGCUCACUGGCCCGGUACUGACGCUGAGGCGCGAAAGCGUGGGGAGCAAACAGG